AAAGAGUAAACAGUUUGUUUAUUUAGAUUCCUCAAUUCCAGUUGUGUAAAUUUUAUGAUUUUCAAUUUAGAGAUGAUAGUAAAACGUAAAAGGUUAAUAAUGCAUGUUCUUUGAAGCCAUCUUGCAUGAUUCUCUCGUAGAUAUUACCAAAGGUUUUUAUUUUAUUUGGAAAAAAUCUCCCAUUUUGGUUUCUCAAGGAAUUCUUUUCAUAAGAACAGUGUCAUCAGUUUCUUCUUACUGAAAAUUAUUGAUUUAGUCCAAAGUCAUAAAGGCGAACCUGUUUUAGUCGAAAAGUAUCAAAACAUCGUUCGUUUAUUUUUAACAUGGAGCUACAGAUAAGUGACGAAAUGACGGAGCCGGAUCAAGAUGAGAUUCAUGAGAUUAUGGUGCAGAAGGCCACGGAACUGUUCAAAGUGUGUGAUAAAGAGGAAAAUGGUGUUAUUUCUAAACGGGAUAUGCAACGUCUGCGGAGUGAGCUCCCCUUGUCUCCAGAUAUGUUGGAGGAUGUCUUUGAUUCACUGGAUCUCGAUGGAAACGGAUUUCUUACUCUUCAGGAAUUUAUUGAUGGAUUUGAAAGAAUUAGGACGAAUACGGAUAGAGUGUCUAGCAAGUGUGAAUCAUCAAAUCCAUCUGAAAGGAAUACUCACAGGUUUCGGCGUAAAAAAUUGCAGUCCCUGCAUUGCAGUUUCCUGGGGAUGAAGCCAGGAGGGACGGGGUCGAUGGAGGAGGAGGAGGGGGAGGAGCGUGUUUACGAGGACGAGGAUGACGGUGCCAAUACUGUGGAGGUGGAGAAACACUUCCAGGAGAUGAUGAAUAAUGUUGGCGCCAAAAGAUUCUUCAACGAUGACGACACAAUCAAGGCAUUAUGGGUUAAGCUGCGUGCAGAUGAGCCUGAACUUCUCGGGGACUUUGAGGAAUUCCUGAAUCGAGUCACCAGCAAUAUCAAACAGUCCCAGAAUGACUUCGAAAGUCUUGAAACAGCUCUCAGGAGCAAAACUAAUGCACAUGAUGAAGAGGUAAGAAAACUGUAUGAAGAAAUGGAGACACAGAUAAAGCAGGAGAGAGAUCGCAUUCUGAAAGAGGAGAAGGCAAAGGAGAAACAGCUUCGUGAAGAGAUGGAGAGGGAGAUAUUCGAGAAGGACCGACAGCUGCAGGAGUUACUCCAAAAACACCAGGAGAUGGAAUCCCAGCUGGAGGUUCUCAAUAUGACAGAGACAGAGACAAAGCAGGAAAAUGAAAAGUUGAUGAAUGACAAGGAGAGGCUUGAGGAGCUGCUGAUGACUUCCCAGGAUAAUCUGGAGGAGUCCAAGACGUACAUCAACCAGCUCCGGGAACAAGACAAGCACCACACCAAGGAGAGAGCCAGACUUUCAGGAUUUGAACUGAGAGAACAAAGGGGAGGUAAUCCUCUUAUACGCAAGGGGAGACGACUCCAGGGAAAUGAUGAGCCUAUUUCUGAUAGCCGGAGAGCUGCGAUGAAGAUGACGGAGGGCAUCGCCAUGGAGAGAGAGAGCUUAGUGAAGCAGCUCGACAUGCUCAGGGAUAUGAACCGAAAAUUGCGAGACGACAAGGACGAAGCUGAGGCAGCGGAAUCAAGGCGGGAUCCAUCCCCAAAUGCGCUAGACCGAGAACUGUCUGAACAGGCACUUUCAACGACUGAGACUCUCCCGGACCGCAGUGACCCCAUCGACCUCACUGACCGCAGUGAAGUCGGGCCGGUCAGGAAGAAACUCACAAAACAGGGCUCCGUCCUCUCUAACUACUUCCCCGGGUCUACAGACAGAAGGUCCAAUCCGAGGACCUCUGAGACGCUUUCAGAGGAUGUAGACGGACAUCUUGCGGACAUUGACGAUGACAUUGAGUGUGAUGAAGACGACAACUACAACAGUCAUUCAUUGUUAUCAACUAAUCUCAACUCUGUAAAUGGAUCUAUGAAUGAAGAAAUGUACACUUCUCAAGGACAUGAUAAUUCAAUGUAUGUGGAAUCUGGAUACAGCGUGAGGCAGCCCAAUGGCAGGGAUGUCAACUCCAGCGAUACAGAGAGUGAAGCAGCAGCAAGGGGACAUAACUCUAGGUUAAAAAAUGGUCAUUCCCAUAAUGCAUUUGUGGAUGGUCUGCGUGGACAGCCAGUGGGGGCUACAGCAACAGUGGAGAGUGGUGACAGGGGACUUCAGCCAGCGGAGCCGACCGGGCCGGAGAGGAUAUUCAAGGUCGUGUUUGUGGGGGACUCUGGCGUGGGCAAGAGCAGCUUUAUAUAUCGGUUCUGUCACCGCAACUUCAAGCAGUCCUUCAGUGCCACUAUCGGUGUGGACUUCCAGAUCAAGACUAUGAUGAGUGAGGGGAAGCUGAUAGCUCUGCAGCUGUGGGACACCGCUGGACAAGAGAGGUUUCGGAGCAUCACCAAGCAAUAUUUCCGGAAGGCGGAUGGCGUCAUCGUCAUGUAUGAUGUCACAUCCGAGAACUCCUUCGUCAACAUCCGGAACUGGAUGAACAGUGUCAAGGAAGGAGUGGAUGACGAUACGGUCAUUGUGAUCGUGGGUAACAAGAUGGAUCUCGCUGAAAACGACAACAAACGUGUCAUCAAAACUAAAGAUGGCAUUAAGUUUGCUGAUGAGUAUGGUGCUCUGUUCUAUGAGACCAGUGCUAAGAUAGGGAGUGGUGUCACAGAAACCAUGGAGGCCCUAGCAUGUGUCCUGCGGGAGAAGGAGGAUAAGUCUAUUGAAGCUGCCCUGAGGCUGGAGGCCGGGACAAUCAAGAAGAAAGGAUGCUGUUCUUGAUAGAAAGAAGAACAUGUAAAUGGCUGGGGUGGGAUACAGAGGGGAGACAACUGAGAGUAUUACUUGAGGGGAGAUAACUGAGAUUAUUGAUAGGGGAGAUAACUACGAGGGGCUGUAACUGAUUGAUAUCUUGCAGAAAGGGAGACUACUGAUUGAUAUAUUAGAGGAGGGGAAAUAUGUGUUUGAUAUAUUGCAGGAAGAGAGAUACCUAAUUGAUAUAUUACAGAAGAGGAGAUAACUCUCUGAUAUAUUACAGGAGGGGACAUGACUGGGAGAUAUAAGGGAGAGAACUGAUAUUACAUAAAGGGCUAUAACAGUGAUUAUUACUGGAGGGAUAUAAAUUGAUUAUUGUAUGAAGGGAAUAACUGAAAGUGAAAUAACUGAUAUUGUGGAAGGGGACGCUACUGUUACCUCAUGGUAGUUACAGAAUGAAGGAAUGAACUUCAGUGAAAAGGUCACUUUCAAAUGUCAGACCAUCAACAAUGGCAGCAAUGUUGAACUCUCUGAGGCUGAGCUUUGACCCAGAUUACAGGUUAACAUUGAACUCUCUGAGGCUGAGCUUUGACCCAGAUUACAGGUUAACAUUGAACUCUCUGAGGCUGAGCUUUGACCCAGAUUACAGGUUAAAAUUUAAUCCAUCUCACAGACACUGAGGUUAAUCAAUGAGUAUUUGCAUGCGGUAUACUCAUUGUGUUGAUCAUGGAACUUUGACUGUGUCAACAUCUGAAGAAAUCCGGACUAAAAUGGUCUUCCAGGGUAUGAGUAGUUGUGAUGGAAAAGAUAAAAGGACUGUUCAUGAAUCUUCUUCAGAACCAAGAACUGUUCCUCAAUCUCCUCCAGAUCCCAGGACUGUUCAUCAAUCUCCUCCAGAACCCAGGGCUGUUCAUCAAUCUCCUCCAGAACCCAGAACAGUUUCUCAAUCUCCUCCAGAGCCCAGGACUGUUCCCCAAUCUCCUCCAGAACCCAGAACUGUUCCCCAAACUCCUCCCGACCCAGGGCUGAUCAUCAAUCUGUUCGAAAAUCGCCUCCAGAUCCCAGAACAGUUUCUCAAUCUCCUGCAGAACCCAGAACUGUUUCUAAAUCUCCUCCAGAUCCCAGGACUGUUUCUCAAUCUCCUCCAGAUCCCAGGACUGUCCCUAAAUCUCCUCCAGAAAUCAGGACUGUUCAUCAAUCUCCUCCAGAUCCCAGGACCUUUCAUCAAUCUCCUCCAGAUCCCAGGACUGUUGAUACACCUCUUCCAGUACAGCACCCAGUAUGAAUGUCCACAAUUGCCAGACUAUCUUGAUAUGUGUGAAAUUAUGGACUACAAGCUACUGUUCGACUUACAGACAACCUGAAAAAGUUCUUCAUUGUAUCAAGUCAUGCAGAGUGUGAGAACUUUACCUUCCACAUGAACAUUGACUCUGUGCUCUCCAUCCCAUAGUAUGGGAGUCUGCCAUUGCUGAAGCGUCUUCACUGGAUGUAGUUUUCAAGUUGUGUCCAGAUUUCACAGGUUUGAAAGAAUUUCAUAGAUAUAGAGUUAGAAAUCCAUCCUUGUGUUACACUUUGUAUGGUUAAUUCAUUUUAUAUUAAAACAUUAACCAGUGGAAUCACUAAAUGUGCAAUAACAUGUAUGUUUUAGUCAUUGUAUAUAGUACUCUGUUUAUCGGAAUGAAAGUCGCCAUUUAGCUGUUUGUCCUGAAACGUUUUAGAGACAUCUAGGUCGAUUGUUUCUGUCACAAGAUCAUGAUGUUGUAGAUGAUAUUUUAGCGGCAUUGAUUCAUCGGCUCACAACAUCAUUCCAAUGCACAGUACAUGCAAGUGUGUGACAAAAUGUUGAACGUUUGUGUACAUAUUUACCACGUAGCCUUACAUUGUCCGUUUUAUUCUGUAUUUGUACAUAUCAAGCACAACAUUUUAUGUGCACAGAGAUGUUUUGUGGUGCUUGCAUGAACAUUGCUGGACCAAGAUCAUGUUCUGAAAACAUUGUUGAGUUUUGAGAUAUUUUACCAAAUUUUAUUCAAAGCCAUUUUGGUGAAGGAAUAAACCUAUUUAAAAAACAAA
rnacentral:misc_RNA from 1 species